AACGAACGCUGGCGGCAUGCCUAACACAUGCAAGUCGAACGAGACCUUCGUGUCUAGUGGCGCACGGGUGCGUAACGCGUGGGAACCUGCCCUUAGGUUCGGAAUAACUCCCCGAAAGGGGUGCUAAUACCGGAUAAUUUCUUCGGACCAAAGAUUGAUCGCCUUUGGAUGGGCCCGCGUUGGAUUAGCUAGUUGGUAGGGUAAAAGCCUACCAAGGCGACGAUCCAUAGCUGGUCUGAGAGGAUGAUCAGCCACACUGGGACUGAGACACGGCCCAGACUCCUACGGGAGGCAGCAGUGGGGAAUAUUGGACAAUGGGCGAAAGCCUGAUCCAGCAAUGCCGCGUGAGUGAUGAAGGCCUUAGGGUUGUAAAGCUCUUUUACCCGGGAUGAUAAUGACAGUACCGGGAGAAUAAGCACCGGCUAACUCCGUG
rnacentral:rRNA from 1 species